rnacentral:rRNA from 1 species
GACGGACGCUGGCGGCGUGCUUAACACAUGCAAGUCGAGCGGUAAGGCCCUUUCGGGGGUACACGAGCGGCGAACGGGUGAGUAACACGUGGGUGACCUGCCCUUAGCUCUGGGAUAAGCCUGGGAAACUGGGUCUAAUACCGGAUAUGACUCCAUGACGCAUGUUGUGGGGUGGGAAAGCCUUGUGCGGCUAGGGAUGGGCCCGCGGCCUAUCAGCUUGUUGGUGGGGUGAUGGCCUACCAAGGCGACGACGGGUAGCCGGCCUGAGAGGGCGACCGGCCACACUGGGACUGAGACACGGCCCAGACUCCUACGGGAGGCAGCAGUGGGGAAUCUUGCGCAAUGGGCGAAAGCCUGACGCAGCGACGCCGCGUGAGGGAUGACGGCCUCGGUUGUAACU